UACGUAGGGUGCAAGCGUUGUCCGGAAUUAUUGGGCGUAAAGAGCUCGUAGGCAGUCUGUCGCGUCGGCUGUGAAAUCCCGAGGCUCAACCUCGGGUCUGCAGUCGAUACGGGCAAACUAGAGUAUUGCAGGGGAGACUGGAAUUCCUGGUGUAGCGGUGAAAUGCGCAGAUAUCAGGAGGAACACCGGUGGCGAAGGCGGGUCUCUGGGCAAUAACUGACGCUGAGGAGCGAAAGCGUGGGGAGCGAACGGG
rnacentral:rRNA from 1 species